AUUGAACGCUGGCGGCGGGCCUAACACAUGCAAGUCGAACGAGUGGCGGACGGGUGAGUCAUGUCUGGGAAACUGCCUGAUGGAUGGGGAAAACUACUGGAAACGGUAGCUAAUACCGCAUACCAUCAGCUUUGCCCAGGUGUGAUUCGCUGUUGGGUGGGGUAAAGGCCUACCAAGGCGAAGAUCCGUAACUGGUCUGCGAGGAUGAUCAGACCAACUGGAACUGAGAAACGGUCCAGACUCCUACGGGAGGCAGCAGUGGGGAAUAUUGGGCAAUGGGCGAAAGCCUGAGCCAGCCAGGCGGCGUGUGUGAAGAAGGUCUUCGGAUUGUAAAGCACUUUAAGUUGGGAUGCGGUACCCGCAGAAGAAGCAACGGCUAACUCCGUGCCAGCAGCCGCGGUAAUAC
rnacentral:rRNA from 1 species